GAUUCCCGUGAGCCUCUGCGUCCCCGGCUGAGCCACCAAUCAAAACACUCUUCCUCUCAGGGACUAAAUUGGCUGCCAUAAGUAAGAGCUCAUUGGCCCGCACUGGAGGAAGUGGUUCCAGGUCCUACUUCCGUCGGUUCAGGGAAAUACCCUUUCGUCGGCUUUUGCUCCCACUCCAGAGAAAAGCGGCUACGUAUCCUCUGAUGUAAGCUAGGUCUGUUGUGCAGAAAAUCUUGAUUGGCAGGAGAAUAAGCCAGUCAGUCCUCCCUGAAAGUUCCCCGCCCCCUCUAAACUCAACUUUAAUCCGGAGGCAGAAGCAGGCUGGUCUGAGUUCGAGGUCAGCUUGGUCUACUUCGCGAGCUCCAGCUGAGCCAAGGUUAUAUACUUGUCUCAAGGGCUUGUCUCAAAACAAAUUUGCAGAGCCCAGAACAUCUGGUGACUCACAUAGCACAAGAGUGUAUGAUACCCUCGUUAUUCCUUAAUUUUGUGCCCUAAGCGAAGCAAAUUGCUGUGAGAAUUAACUUGAAGAAAACCAAUGUUGUUCUAAAAAAAACAAACGAAACAAAACGGGAGGUUAAGGUUCAGGUAACAUGAAGACAAAAAAGAAACACAGAUACCACCAAUAAAAUACAAAAGCUAUACACUAAGCACAGAGACUUCCGUGUCCAGGUGACUCCUUUUACUUGCUACUGGAAGUCUUCUGUGUCUGGGUAUCCCUAACAAGAAGCUUUGAGAAGAAUUGCUCCUUCCAAGCUGGCCCAUGAUUAUUUCUUUUCCAGAAAAUUUUGUUUCCAAAGAAUUGAAUUUGAGUAGUAAACAGACAGAUGUGGGUCCAGCAACAUAGAUUCGACAAGUCUAUUAUUAACUGUUGGAAAAUGAGGGUGUGUGUGUGUGUGUGUGUGUGUGUAAUCCUCUGAUUCUUGGGAGAGUGUAAUUGUGCUGUCUCUUUAAUCAACCUGUGCACUAGACUACUCACACAUACAGAGAAGCACAGCCUCUGAAAGCUAACAUUUGCCAACAUUUAAGAUUAGAGCUGAGGGUGAUGGGGCAUGCUUUUCAUUCCAGUACACUGGAAGCCCAGGCAGGUGGGAUCUCUGAGUUUAUGUCAGCCUGGUCUUCACGGUUGAGCUCUUGGCUAGCCAAGACCCAGUCUUAAAACAACAAGGACUGGCUGGGGUUGGGGAUUUAGCUCAGUGGUAGAGCACUUGUCUAGCAAGCGCAAGGCCCUGGGUUUAGUCCUCAGCUCCAAAACAAAACAAAACAAAACACAACAACAACAACAACAAAAAACACACACACAUAACCAAACCAAACAAAUAAACAAACAAACAAACAAAAAAACCCAAGGACUUUCAGGCUAAUUCAGCUCAGAGCUCUACUGAAAGACCUGGAGACAGAAAUUAGUGGAACUAGGUUUAUUCAAGAACAUACCCAAAGAAAAUGAGAGACUUUUUCUCUGUCAAACAUUUGUCUUUGGAAGCGGUGAGAUGGUGCAUGGAUGUUGUCUUCGUGGGUUUCUAUUGCAGUAGAGAGACAAUAUUACCAUGGCAACUCUCAUAAAGGGCUUCUCUGUGUAGUCCUGGCUGUCCUGGAACUCACACUGUACACCAGACUUGCCUUGAACUCAGAGAUCUACAUGCCUCUGCCUCCCAAGUGCUAAGGUUAAAGGCAUGAUCCAGUUAAAGGAAAACAUUUCAUUAAGGCUAGCUUAGAGUUUCAGAGGUUCAGUCUGUUACAUCAUGUCUGUGAAGAAGCAUGACAACAUGUAGGCAGGCAUGGUGCUGGAGAAGGAACUGAGAUCUACAUCUUGUUCCUCGGGCAGCAGGCAGAGACUGUGUACCACACCGGGUGUAGCUUGAGCAAGCUUCUUGAUAAUGUGUAUGUCUGUGUAUGGAUACGUGCAGGUGCCUACAAAGGUCAUAAUAGGGUGCUGGAUCCGCUGCAGCUCAGUUACAGUUAGGAACUACCUGGUGUGGGUUUUAGGAACCAAACUCAACUUCUAUGGGAGAGCAGCCUCCAUAGAACCUCAAAGUCGGUCCCCACAGCGAGACUGCCUCCAAAAAGGCCACACCUAAUAGUGCCACUCUCUAUGGAUCAAGCAUUCAAACACACACACACACACACACACACACACACACACACACACACACACACACCAGUCUAUGGAAGCUAUUCUCAAUCAAACCACCAGACAUGUAAUCCCAGCAUUACGGAGGUAACACAGGAGAAACAAAAGUUUGAGGCCAACCUAAGUUCACAGAAUCCUGGCUUAAAAAAAUGUGUGCAUGCAGGGGGGAGUGGUGGGAUUGUAGAGAUGGCUCAGUGGUUACAAGCACUUGCUGCUCUUCCCAUGCACCUUAGCAUGUCUACUGGUGCUGUCCUUGCUCAGCACAUGCAGUCACGUUGGUGAGACACUCACCGGGUGUAGCUGCUGAUCUUACUAGAAGACACAACCUCAUUGUAAACCCCCUCAUUCUUUGGCUCUUACAAUCCCAGUCCCCUGUACUGAAAGGCUCCCCGAGCCUUAGGUGCAGGAGUCAUAUUGUAAGUGUAUCUACUGGGACUGAAACCCACAGUCCUGCAUUUUUGUGGGUCGUGGUUUUCUGUCACUGUUUCUGUCUGCAAAGGGAAGCUUCCUCGAUGAGGGGGCAAGGACUACAUUUAUCCAAGGCUGUAAGGACAAUUAUUUGGAAUGCAGUUCGGUACUUGGUUGGUUUAGUAGAUUGGUGGGUGAGGGUUCUCCUACGUUUCUAGCGGUAGCCAUGAUUUCCUUCUUGCGUAGCAUGCCUUAAGUCUAAGUAGAGAGCUACCGGUCACCAGCAGAGUAAGUGUGUCACAGUUGUACUGUAGCGAGGGCUUUUUGGUUUCUUUAAAAACCCAGUUGCGUUAUAUGAAUAUGCCUUUGUUCUAAUCUCAGGUAUGGGAUAUAGGGCUACUUCAGAUUUUGCACAGCCAUUAACUAUGAUUGUCUCCCGCUCUAGGGGGCAUGAUUUUUGCCAGCUGCAGAUAGUUUAAUUCUGGGGACUCUGGAGAAGGUAUAAACACUACAGGCCUGAGAGGUUCUGUGGCAGACGCUGCUCCCCCGCUGCAUCUGCUGUUGCUGAACUACUACUGGACAUUCUGAUGAUGAAGCCUGGACUAGCCCCAAGGGACCCAACGACCUUAAUCAGCAGGAAGUAGCCUAUAGAGGCUACAUCCCCAUUCCACUGUAACCUUCUUUCUCUCCUAUCUAGUGUUGGAGGGGGGUUGGAGGUUAUUAGGGUGGAAUAAGGGUCGGAAGGGUGGUUGAGGUAUAAGAACCCAAUAAAAUGACACAAACUUGCCAGCACCAUACCCUUAGGGUUAUCAUGUCGUGAGGGUCAUUUUAUCUGGUUAGGACUGUUGCUGCUUCUCUCCUUAGGAAGCUGCACAGCAUUGCAUGAAAGCUAGUCCUCAGACAAGAGCUGCUCAGGUCGGAUCUGGCUCUGCAGGCUUCAGGGCCUGCAUCUGAAGUGCUUGGAGCCUUUAGCAACAGGGACUAAGUUUGUACCUCUAGGGGACAAAGGAAGGCAAUAGCAACAGACUAAUGUCUGAGGAGUCUCCGGAUGAGUGUGAGUAACAAGUCAAAAGAAGGCUUCUCGCGCCUGGCACUGGAGUUUUGGUUAGGUGGUCUUCGGCUCUUGGAGGGAGUGCUGUCAUCCCAGGUGAGAAACGUCAUUUAAACCACACAUACAUUUAUACACUGACUUACGUGUACUACAGUGUUUUUAAAGCUAUUUACGCUUGUCUCUUGAUUUUCCUUCAUUUUAUGCAUAUGUGUGUUUCGUCUGCAUGUACAGUGUACAGUUUGCCCAUGGAGGCUAGGAGGGAGGGUCAGGUCCCUUGUGACUGGAGUUAUAUCAGUUGUGAGCCAUCCUGUGGGUGCUGGGAAUCGAACCUGGGUCUCCUAGAAGAACAGCCAGUGCUCUUUACCAAUGAGCCAUCUCUCCAGCCUUUCAGUUGUUUCUGAAGGACAAGUGGCAAAGGCCAGCUUAUUAAGGCUGCCGAGUAAUACAAAGCAAGACAAAAUUAAAUGGAGUUGAGCCUGGCAUUCCCUCUCACUGGGAGAAAGCCCGUCUAGCAUGCUCUAGGCCUUGGGCUCAUUCCCAGGAUGGGAAGCAGUUCAUAUUAAAUCUGGCAAACCAAUAAUAUCAGAAAACCAUUGAAAGUGUAAGUUUAAUGAAUAGAAUCAGUGAGUGAGUUGGGGCUGGGGAUACAGAUGAGUAAAAGCACCCGCCUCUGAGUCUGACAGCCUGAGUUUGAGUCCCAGGACCCAUGAGUGGAAGGAGAGAACCAACUCCCUACAGUUGUGACACCCCCAUGACGAUGCUGUGGUGUGUGUAUAUAUCUUACUCUGAAAUCUGUGGUCUUCUGGAGAGGGAGUAGUUUACAUUCUUUUUUAAUCUGUACAGUUAUUUUGCCUUGUGUAGGUCUGUGCAUUGUGUGUGCGCCGUGCUUGCAGAAGCCACAAGAGGGCGUCAGAUCCUCUUGUACUGGAGUUACUGUUAUGAGCCACCAUGUGGUGCUGAGAAUUGAACCCAGGUCCUCUGGAAGAGCAGUGCUCUCAACCACUAAGCCACCUGUACUCACUUUUUUGGGGGGGUUCUCUGGAUGGAUCUAAACUCCAGUCCUCAUGCUCAACAGUCAAUUCACUGAGCCAUCUUCCCAGCCCUUUGUGGGUUUUUUAUUGUUGUUGUUUUUGUUUUGUUUUCCCCCGCAGGAGCUGAGGACUGAACCCAGGGCCUUGCGCUUGCUAGACAAGCGCUCUACCUCUGAGCCAAAUCCCCAAUCCCCCUUUGUGGUUUUUUGUUUGUAUGUUUGUUUGUGAUAGUCUCUGGAGUAACUCAGGCUGGUUUCAACUAGUUUCAACAGACAGCUGAGGACCAAUCUGAACUGUUCCUACUGCCUCGGCUUUUUAAGUGCUGGGAUUAGAGUGUGCACCACUGGCUCAUUUGCUCCUUUCCAUGUUAACUGUGGCCACUGUGCUGCCAGAGCACUUCCACUGCAGAACAAGAUUUCUUCUCCUCCAGCUUCCAGGAACAUUUCCCUUAACUUCUAAACUGAGAGCUCUCAUCGGCUCCAGUUUCAACUCGUAACCUCCUCAGUGCCUUUUAGGCUUAAGGAAGCAACCUCUUUGAGGCCUUCCAGUUUCUGCUACCUGAUACCAGAGCCCUAGUCCUUCCAGUGUUUGUUAUGGUGACACAUAGUGGAAUCUGCUGCUCUUAGUUGUGAAGUGACAAAUCUGAGUGUCAUUUUUAUUUUUUCUUUUCUUUUGUUCGGAGCUGGGGACCGAACCCAGGGCCUUGCGCUUCCUAGGCAAGCGCUCUACCACUGAGCUAAAUCCCCAACCCCAUCAAAUCUGAGUGUCUUAACGUGUGUUCCUGUGUGCACUUGCAUGCAGGUGCUUCUGGGACAAGCUGGCUCCCUCAGUCAUUUUCAUCUUAUUCUCACUGAGGUGGGGCUUUCCUCAGUGAAUCUGGAACUCGUCCAUUAGGCCAGAUUGGUUGACUAGUGAGCCCCAGGGAUCCUUCUCUGCCUUUCUGGUGCUGCGCUUACAAGUGUGCACCACAUCUGGCUUUUGUGUGGUCGUGGGGGACUGAACUCGGGCCCAAAUGCUUGUAUUCCCAAGCACUUAACUGAGACAUCUCCCCAUCUCUCUGCCUUUUGUGUGUUUCAAGUCUCACUGCGUAGUUCUGGCUGGCCUGGAAGUUGCUAUGUAAUCUAGGCUAGUUUUAAACUCCCAGAGAUUGGCCUGCUUUCUAUUGUUUGUCUGCCUAUUUGUUUACUUAUUCAUUGUGUGUAUGCUUGUGUGUGUGCAUGCACGUGCAUUUUGAAACAAGGUUUUGCUAUGUAGCCCUGGUUGACCUGGAAUAACUAUUGUAAAGGUAACUUUUCUUUUCCUGGUGUAAUUUGUUGUCUCUGGGGCUUACUGCUUCCAGUCUGUUAACCUAGGUCUAGUCCUGGAAGCUUCUAGCCUCUGUACAAUCUAACCUAUGCCUAGAAUGUUUUCAGCCUGAGACUUACUACAGAAUAAGCUCACCCUUUCUGUCUUUCUGAACUCUCGCUGGCUGAUUCAACUCACCUGUUGUUGUUUAGAACUCUUCAUGGUGACUGAUUCAAUCUGGCUUCUCUCCCUCUCCUCCCUCCUCUGCCCCUCUCCUGAAUUGCUGAUGGCUUUGCCUGAUCUCUAACUAACUGUAGCAAUCUGCUCUGAUCUUCUGCCUUCACCUGUAUCUAGCUUGUUCUCUCUGCAACCUGUCCCUGUACAGUUGUCCCAGUAAAGCUGCCUCCUCUUUUCUGUACUGCCCCUUAAGUAGCUUCCCUUUUCCCUUCUCUCUCUGAGUUGGGCAUAUCCUAUUCUGUCAAAUCUUUCUCUGAUCCGUCACUUUGCCCAUCAAUUAGACAUCACUUUCAAAUAUGAGUGCUUCCUUCUACAAACCAACUUUACCUUCAUUCUUUGGGACUAAAGGUGUGUAUUAACAUUGUGACUGGAAGGGUUGGGGAUUUAGCUCAGUGGUAGAGCGCUUGCCUAGGAAGCGCAAGGCCCUGGGUUCGGUCCCCAGCUCCGAACAAAAGAAAAAAAAAAAAAACAUUGUGACUGGAGAGAUGGUUAAGAGCACUGACUGCUCUUCCAGAGGUCCUGAGUUCAAAUCUUACAACCACGUGGUGGCUCACAACCAUCUGUAAUGAGAGCUCAUGCCCUCUUCUUGUGUUUCUGAAGACAGCUACAGUGUAUAUAAUAAAUAAAUAAAUCUUAAAAAAAAACUCACUAAAGAGUAUGACUAUAUUCCAGCCAGAGGGAUUAAAAGUGAGCAGAACCACAACUAGAAAUUCGUCCCACCCCCCUCAUCCCCAAAUAAAUAACACAUCCUCAGGGUUCAUAGUGUGAUCAAAUAUCCUGCAACACACUAUCAAGUUGGCCUGGAACUGACAGUAACCUACCUCAGCCUACAAAGUGCUGAAACUACAUGUGUGUUCCAUCAUACCUGGCUGUUAACCACUCUAACAGAAGGUCUGCAGUCAGCAAGUGAAAUGCUUGGUGUGGUGUCAUAGGUGGAAACAUUCAGGUCUGGGGCAGAGAGGAGCAAAGAGUGCAGGAAGGCUGUAGUAGUCAGGAUGCUUGAAGUCCAGGUGCUUUGCAUCUCUGUGUUUCCUGUCUGAAUGCUCUGUCUUCCUAAUCCCCAACACGGGCAACUCCCAUUCUCACUUUGUCUUGUCUUAUUCUGAUUAUUCUAGGUACUGUACGCAAGUGUAACCAUGCAGUAUUCUGAGAACUCUCAGGUUUUUAAAUGUACUAGCCAGCCAUUGCAGAAGGUACUGAUCUGCUUUCCUUGGUUACUGAAGUGAUGCUAGCCUGGGGUAAAACUCAGUGUAAGAAAAGCCUGAGCCUCCCUGAGUGUUCAGUUUCCAUUUGUUUCUGUGGACUCCGGAGUUGACAGCAGUAUUCUGAAAUAAAGCCCAUCACGUUGGAGCAGGGACUGCUAGACCGCCUGGCACACAUGGAGCUGUGGGUCUGAUCGGCAGUAGCUCAAUCAGCUAUAGGAAGCGGAUCCUGAACCCGUGUUAGAGGAAGCAGAGGAAGCCUGUACAUUCACCCCUGGUUCUCCCUCUCGACUGUGAAUGGACCAUGACAAGCACUCAACCUCCUGCUGGGCUUUCUCUAACCUGCUUUUAUCAAGAUCCCAGCAUAUACUGAAGACCAGCUGAGACACUAGCCUCACAGGAAUGAAUGACCACUGGAUUCUUGGGACCUUCCAAUCAUAGGCAGCCACCGCUGGAUAAGCUGGACCACAGCCUGUAAGUCAUCCUAGUAAAUCCCCUUUCUAUAUAUCGUUUAAUACAAAGAGCAAGCACUCUUAACUGCCGAGCCAGUUCUUCAGCUAAAGACAUUUGAGCAGUAGCUUUAUGACAUUUUUAACAGUUGAUAUCUAAGUAUGCUUCUGAAAUGAACAAAGUAGACGUAUACUGUACAAAGUGAUCUCAAUAUCAAUAACUUUUUCAGUCGUAUCAACUUGAAAUUAUGAAAGUUUUUUUUUUUUUUUAAUUUUUACUUGUCUGUGGCUCUGGGGACUGAACCCACGCGCUGUGCACACUAGGCAAGGGCUCUGCUAUACAUCCAUAUCCAUCCCCCAAAUUAUACAAUUUUCAUGUUUUUCCCUUCCUUCCAUCCAUCUUUCUUUCUUUCUUUUCUUUUUCUUUUUUUGAGGCAGGAUUUCUCUGUGUCGCCCUGGCUAUCCUGAAAUUUACUCUGUAGACCAGGCUGACCUCAACUCAGAUCCAUGUGUCUCUACUUCCCAAUGCUGAGAUUAAAGGUGUGCACCACCAUUCCCACUGUUAUGUUAGCUUCCAUUUGGAAACAAUAAACUCUGCUCCUCUUCUACACAGUGUAGGGCUCAAUGCUUACGUCACUCUACUCAGCUGUCAACAGGAAUUAAAAUAUUUUAAAGCACAAGCCAAAUCAAUAUACUGGUUCAAAAUGAUUAUGAAAUACACUUAGUACAAAACACUACUGAGCAGAGUUCAAUGCCCAAGCUGUAGGAAACCCAUACUUACAUAUAUUGUAUUGUAGUUGCUAGGCCUGAUCUUUGCAACUCAAAUGCAUGUACAAAACUCAGGGGACGUAACUGGUCCAAGAAGUUUCACGUUUACAGAAAAACCCAUAUCUUUUGUUACACAGUGAGAGAAAGAGCUGAGCUACAUGGUUAAGGUUUUCAAGUAAUGUUAUGUACAGUUUUAUUGCCAGUAUAUGCACAACGGUAAGCAUAGAACUAUAAAUACACAAUGUCAUUAACAGUAGAAAACAAAACUGUUACAGUAGGGGAGAGGGGAUGGAGUAAUAUCUUUUCUUGCUGCUAAAACAGAACAAAAAGGAAGGAAAGGAAAAGCUUCUCCGACCAAUCACCCAUCCAGUUCUCUCCGCUCACGCCCUUUACAUACAUUUCUACAUUUUUCCAGCUGAACGAAGUACAGGUAGCUCUGUAACAACAGCAAACUGCUCCCACAGCCAUCUGCUUUCCAGUCACAUUCACCUCAUGUUAGGAUUCAAAAAAACAAAACAAAACAAAAGUCAAGAUGAGAAAUCAAUAGUAUCCUGGUUCCAAAUGACCUAAUUUGGCCUUUCACCCAAACUGGUGAUAUUUGAAAGUUGGCUGCACAUGAAAAUAACGUUAGCAGAGGUGAUUAAAAAAUGUUAAAAAGUAACAAAACAUCACCUUUGAAGUAGUUUUCCAAGACACUCCAGGCAGCGGGUUGGUUAAAGGGUCAGCCC